UGAAGUAGUGGGUUCAUAGCUCACUGAAGCCUUGAAUUCCCAGGCUCAAGCUAUCCUCCUGCCUCAGUCUCCCGAGUAGCUGGGAUUACAGGCAUGCACCACCAUGCUUGGCUAAUUAAAAAACUUUUUUUUGGUAAAAACAGGGUCUUCCUAUGUUGCCCAAGCUGGUCUCAAACUCUUGGGAUAAGUGAUCCUCCCACUGCAGCCUCCCGAAGUGCUAGGAUUAUAGGCGUGAGCCACCAUGCCUGACCAUUGGUCUAAAUUUUUAUUCCAGCUUCUACAGUCUCACGGUUACCUUCCUCAAGUAGACCCUCCUAACUGCCAGCCACCUACUACCAUUGUGUCCUCAUGUCAGGGUGGAGCUAGGUGGAGAGACAGUUUCCCAUUCUCUUUGCUCUGCUAUCCCUGCUCCUCACAUGAAAAAUCAAAAUCCCCACCCUAGUUCUAGCCUUGCUCGCUUUUCCACCUGGAAGAGUCCACACUCUUAGGUUCUGAUUUGGGUUCUAAUUUCACACCAGAUCAUCCAAACACAUCUAUGCCUCAGCUGCAAAUUGAAGAUCCUAAAAUGUCAAAAGGGAGAAACAGAUCUGUGGAGAGGUUGGCCAAAGGGAGGAGCUGGGGGCAGGGGCUUUGUAGCAGAGGCUAGUUGUAUUAAUUUUUGUCUGCUGCCUUUGGCACAAGGUGAGGGGGUCAGAAUGCAUGGUGACCUCCUCAGGGGAAACCCCCAGGCCUGCAGAUGGCCGGUGAAUUGGCUCUGCACAGCUCCCUCCCUCACGGUUUCCUGCCAAGUCCUCCUGUUUCUUCACUCUUGGUGGUUCUCCCACUCAGCCCAUCCUUUCCAUCUUGUUUGAGCCUGCUGUCCUGCCAGCUCACCCCUGGGCUCAUUUCGCAGUCUUCUGGACUGUAAUCUCUCUUCCCCCCCUGCAUUCUGCUGCCAGAUCUGCCUGAAAUGCUGCUUUUGCAUGAAAAUACCAGCCUGGCAAGAUGGUCUAAUGCGUUGCUGCUGACUUUCCUCUAAGGAACCUUCCUGGCACGCCUGUGCAGGCUCCUCCAGCGUCCUCUCCCUCUUGCCUGCUGAAAGCAGCUGGAUCUAUUCCUCAGAUCUGGAAGGUGAGGUUGGAAAUGGCAAGGGUGACCUGACUGCCUGUGUCCCCAGUCCCCAGUCCCAGGCCUUGCCACUGUCCUGCCUCCUUGUCUUCGAUAAAUAAAGUUCUGGAGACUGGGAAGUUCAUGAUCAAGGUGCCAGCUGAUGAAGCUUCUGAUGAAGAAAAAAAAAUUAUUGGUGGCAAGCACAGAACCCAUGCCAAAGAGAACUGUGGAACGGCUUUGUUGCUGCCUCCCAGAGGCUAAACUCCGCUGUCUGUGCCAGCAUCUCUAGUUACCUGCUUUCUCUUCUUGCUCACAGGUCUGUGUAUGCACUCAGACUAACCUGUGAACUGGCACCUUGUGCCUGCAUCUCACUGACUUUGGCAGCUUGGAUGCCAUCUUCUCCUAUAAAUGCCCCUUCUUCCAAAAAGCAGCCCUGCUGCCUGUUUACUCUCUUUCACUGUAUCAGAAUCUAUGAACCUGCAGGUUUUCUAAAAGAUCAUUGUGUUGCUGUUUAUCAAAAGCGGCAUGCAUUUCCAUCAGCUUUCCAACAGAAAAUCAGGCGAGAGGCUAUUCAACAUUCACUUAUUCACUGAAUAUUCAUUAAUUUUCCAGACAUUCUUCUAGGUACCAGGUGUCAGGCCUCUGAGCCCAGGCCAGGCCAUCACAUCCCCUGUGACUUGCACGUAUACAUCCAGAUGGCCUAAAGUAACUGAAGAUCCACAAAAGAAGUAAAAACAGCCUUAACUGAUGACAUUCCACCAUUGUGAUUUGUUCCUGCCCCACCCUAACUGAUCAAUGUACUUUGUAGUCUCCCCCACCCUUAAGAAGGUUCUUUGUAAUUCUCCCCACCCUUGAGAAUGUACUUUGUGAGAUCCACCCCUGCCCACCAGAGAACAACCCCCUUUGACUGUAAUUUUCCAUUACCUUCCCAAAUCCUAUAAAACGGCCCCACCCCUAUCUCCCUUCGCUGACUCUCUUUUCGGACUCAGCCCACCUGCACCCAGGUGAAAUAAACAGCUUUAUUGCU